UUGCUUCGGCAGCAACUAUCCCAAAAUCGGAAGGACGCAGAGAAGAUUAGAAUGGCCCCUGCACAAGAAUGACACGCAGAUUUGUGAAGUGUUCCAUAUUUUU